UACGUAGGGUGCGAGCGUUGUCCGGAAUUAUUGGGCGUAAAGGGCUCGUAGGCGGUUUGUCGCGUCGGGAGUGAAAACAUCGGGCUUAACUCGAUGCUUGCUUUCGAUACGGGCAGACUUGAGGUAUGCAGGGGAGAAUGGAAUUCCUGGUGUAGCGGUGAAAUGCGCAGAUAUCAGGAGGAACACCGGUGGCGAAGGCGGCCCUCUGGACGGUGACUGACGCUGAGACGCGAAAGCGUGGGGAGCAAACAGG
rnacentral:rRNA from 1 species